rnacentral:rRNA from 1 species
GACGAACGCUGGCGGCGUGCUUAACACAUGCAAGUCGAACGGUAAGGCCCUUCGGGGUACACGAGUGGCGAACGGGUGAGUAACACGUGGGUGAUCUGCCCUGCACUUCGGGAUAAGCCUGGGAAACUGGGUCUAAUACCGGAUAGGACCACUGCCUGCAUGGGUGGUGGUGGAAAGCUUUUGCGGUGUGGGAUGGGCCCGCGGCCUAUCAGCUUGUUGGUGGGGUGAGGGCCGACCAAGGCGACGACGGGUAGGCGGCCUGGGAGGGUGACCGGCCACACUGGGACUGGGAUACGGCCCAGACGCCUACGGGAGGCAGCAGUGGGAAUAUUGCACAGUGGGCGCAGGCCUGAUGCGGCGACGCCGCGUGAGGGAUGACGGCCUUCGGGUUGUAAACCUCUUUCAGCACCGACGAAGCGCAAGUGACGGUAGGUGCAGAAGAAGGACCGGCCAACUACGUGCCAGCAGCCGCCGUAA